UGGCCCUGGGGGGUUGGGGUGCGGCUUCGCCAGCCUAGAGCGACACUCUCUCUCCUCUUAGAUCUGGAGCACCCCCCUGCACGUGGCCGUGCGCAUGGGGCACUGUGACUGCCUGGAGCAUCUCAUCGCCUGCGGAGCCCAGGUGGACGCGCAAGACAAGGAAGGGGACACAGCUCUGCACGAAGCCGUGCGGCACGGCCACUACAAGGCCAUGAAGGUGCUGCUGCUCUACGGAGCCAAGCUGUGCGUGCAGAACGGGGCUUUGCUGACUCCAGUGCAGCUGGCACGGG